rnacentral:rRNA from 1 species
UGCAGUCGAGCGGUAACAGGGGUAGCUUGCUACCCGCUGACGAGCGGCGGACGGGUGAGUAAUGCAUAGGAAUCUGCCCGGUAGUGGGGGAUAACCUGGGGAAACCCAGGCUAAUACCGCAUACGUCCUACGGGAGAAAGGGGGCUUCGGCUCCCGCUAUUGGAUGAGCCUAUGUCGGAUUAGCUAGUUGGUGAGGUAAAGGCCCACCAAGGCAACGAUCCGUAGCUGGUCUGAGAGGAUGAUCAGCCACAUCGGGACUGAGACACGGCCCGAACUCCUACGGGAGGCAGCAGUGGGGAAUAUUGGACAAUGGGGGCAACCCUGAUCCAGCCAUGCCGCGUGUGUGAAGAAGGCCCUCGGGUUGUAAAGCACUUUCAGCGAGGAAGAACGCCUGUCGGUUAAUACCCGGUAGGAAAGACAUCACUCGCAGAAGAAGCACCGGCUAACUCCGUGCCAGCAGCCGCGGUAAUACGGAGGGUGCAAGCGUUAAUCGGAAUUACUGGGCGUAAAGCGCGCGUAGGUGGCUUGAUAAGCCGGUUGUGAAAGCCCCGGGCUCAACCUGGGAACGGCAUCCGGAACUGUCAGGCUAGAGUGCAGGAGAGGAAGGUAGAAUUCCCGGUGUAGCGGUGAAAUGCGUAGAGAUCGGGAGGAAUACCAGUGGCGAAGGCGGCCUUCUGGACUGACACUGACACUGAGGUGCGAAAGCGUGGGUAGCAAACAGGAUUAGAUACCCUGGUAGUCCACGCCGUAAACGAUGUCGACCAGCCGUUGGGUGCCUAGCGCACUUUGUGGCGAAGUUCUAGAGUGCAGGAGAGGAAGGUAGAAUUCCCGGUGUAGCGGUGAAAUGCGUAGAGAUCGGGAGGAAUACCAGUGGCGAAGGCGGCCUUCUGGACUGACACUGACACUGAGGUGCGAAAGCGUGGGUAGCAAACAGGAUUAGAUACCCUGGUAGUCCACGCCGUAAACGAUGUCGACCAGCCGUUGGGUGCCUAGCGCACUUUGUGGCGAAGUUAACGCGAUAAGUCGACCGCCUGGGGAGUACGGCCGCAAGGUUAAAACUCAAAUGAAUUGACGGGGGCCCGCACAAGCGGUGGAGCAUGUGGUUUAAUUCGAUGCAACGCGAAGAACCUUACCUACCCUUGACAUCUACAGAAGCCGGAAGAGAUUCUGGUGUGCCUUCGGGAACUGUAAGACAGGUGCUGCAUGGCUGUCGUCAGCUCGUGUUGUGAAAUGUUGGGUUAAGUCCCGUAACGAGCGCAACCCUUGUCCUUAUUUGCCAGCACGUAAUGGUGGGAACUCUAAGGAGACUGCCGGUGACAAACCGGAGGAAGGUGGGGACGACGUCAAGUCAUCAUGGCCCUUACGGGUAGGGCUACACACGUGCUACAAUGGCCGGUACAAAGGGCUGCGAGCUCGCGAGAGUCAGCGAAUCCCUUAAAGCCG